rnacentral:misc_RNA from 1 species
CCGAGUUUACAACUCCCAACCCUAUGUGAACUUACCACUGUUGCCUCGGCGAGCUGCGCUACCCUGUAGCUACUUUUGUAGCGACCUGGGAGCGCGUUAUAGGCUCGCCAGAGGACCACUAAACUCUGUUUUAUUUGUAUCUCUGAAUCUUAUAACUGAAAUCAGUUA